rnacentral:lncRNA from 1 species
GCGAUGGCGGCGGCUGCUCCUGACGCGUUUCUCUCUUUCCCUCCCCAGGUGGGCACGGCGGGCACCGGACACCGCUCGAGGCGGAGGUAACGGCGGCUCCCCCAGCUCCUCGCCGGCGGCAGCCCCGGGACGCGGCCGGUGGCACCGGAGGGAUGCGAGGCAGGGCAGAGCUCCCGCCUGGCCCCGAUCCAGCCCCGAUCCAUCCCCAGGAGCCUCGGGAAGAUCCCGAAUCCCGGAGAUCGCGGCCGGAGCAGCCCCGGAGCUGCCGCGGGCCGGGAUUUCCUGCCCUGGAAUUCCCGCAAUUCCCGAUUUCCCGGGAAAGGCUCCGCUUGCCAAGGCCGGAUGGGGGUUUUUUGGGGAUGGGAAAGGAAAGAAUUGAGGAUUGAAGGAGAUUCCAACACACACA